ACAGGGUACACGAUGUCAAAUAAAUGUAAGUCUUACAGGAAAUUGGGGUCCGAUGAUGAAAGAACAGUUAUAAGAUAAUCGCAUCUCAUGUCCUUAAAAAGUAAGUCUGAUUAUCUUUGCUGCCUUAUCUCCGAUUAUCUGGCGCAGCCGGCCACUACAGGAAUGUUCCCUAGGGAAUGUUUAAAGGCCCGAGUCAGGAUGUUCGAUCAGCCUAUUACACCAAGUGGUGCAACAGCACGAGACACAGACGCCCUGAGUCGCAUGUACCAUAAAAUCCACUGCCGGCUGCUUGUUCGCCUCAAGUAAAAGCGAAAGCCAUACAGUGACUGUGAACAAAAGAUAAGUCGUUAGUAGCCUAUAGUUCCUUCACUAAUGCACGUGUAGUGUCACUCAAACCACUAUCAGGAGCUCCAAGACAUGGAAGGAUUCUGUGAUUCCGCAUUCUGGAACACAUCUCUAGUUUGGAACAGUGAUUGGCCGGAGGUCACAACCUGUUUCCAAGACACUGUACUUGUUUGGAUUCCCUGUGGCUUUCUGUGGUUUGCUGCACCAAUCUAUGCACUCUUUCUCUUCAGAACUUGUUCUAAUGCCUAUCCAACCAGCACACUGUACAAAAGCAAGCUUCUAGUCUGCAGUUUGUUAGCAGCUGCAAUCACAGUAGACUUUGUCAGAGAAGUCUCCAUCCACACGCAGAACAACAGUUCAGCAUGGAAGUCAGAAGUGGUGGCUUUAUUUAUACAGCUGAUCUCAGUGUUGCUGACUGCUGUGUUUAUAGAGAUGGAGAGAAGGAAGGGUUUUGUCACAUCUGGAGUGCUGUUCAUCUACCUGCUUCUUUGGGCAUUCUGCUCCCUCGUUCCUUUCUAUUCACUUAUUUUCAAACAGAUGUACCUGCCAGAAGUCAUCAUGUUUAACUUCAAGUAUCUGUUAAUAAUUGUGCUUUUUAUACUUCACUGCUUUGCUGAGAAAGCAGCUUCUCAUGCCACGAAGUCAAAGAAAAUGUGCCCUGAGACAUCUGCCUCUUUUAUUUCAAGAUUAACGUUUUGGUGGCUGAACAGGCUGAUGGUGGAAGGAUUUAAAGCACCACUCACAGAGGAAAAGGUAAAUGAUCCCAAUCCACAGCAGCUUGCAAAAAAUGUAAUACCAGCUUUUUUGAAAAACUGGGAUUCAGCCUACAAAGUGGUCAAGACAAACCAGAACUCCAUGUCACAACACAAAAAAUCUCACCAUGUAUCAGACCACAUCAUCUCCGUUCAUUUCCCAGACAAUGACAAACUGGAGCCUCUGUUAAUAAAUCAACACCUUAGUCAGUCUGUCAACAAGAAUAAGGAAUGCAGCAAGAUCUCCUUGUUCAAAGUGUUGUGGAAGACAUAUGGCAUGAAAAUACUUAUGAUUCAAAGCUGGCAGUUGAUCAAAGAGCUUAUGUGGAUAUCUAAUCCUCUGGUGCUGGGAUGCCUUAUUGAUGUCGUCCAAGACAAGACAAUCCAAGCAUGGAAAGGGUAUUUUUUUGCAGUCCUCUUGUUUGUGUUGGUCAUUUUACAAGCCAUUUUAGAUAAACAGAUCAUCCAUCAUAGUGGAUGUAUUGGACUUCAAAUCCGUACAGCGCUAAUGUCAGCAAUUUUUAGAAAGGCACUGAAAAUGGAUUCAAAGUCUAAGAAAGAUUCAUCAACAGGGGAGAUAGUAAAUCUGAUGUCAGAUGAUGCUGAGCACAUUGAGCAAACCAUGGCCUUUUGUUCAGCAGCCUGGGCCUGUUUACUGGAUAUUUCAAUCUGCAUGUAUCUGCUAUAUAAUGUGCUUGGACCUCCUAUGUUUGCAGGUCUGGCAUUGCUGCUUUUGAUAAUUCCUUCUAAUAUUAUUCUCUACGGUAGGGUCAGAAAACUGUAUGAUGAAAUCAUGAAGAUGAAAGAUGAGCGUCUGAAGAUACUCAGUGAAGUGCUAAAUGGAAUCAAGAUCCUCAAGAUGUAUGCUUGGGAAUCAUCAUUCUUCAGCAAAGUCAAUGCUAUCAGGGAAAAGGAAAUGCACCUAAGAAAGAAAUAUGCUAUAAUGGAAGUGUUUCUUCAUUUCUCAUGGACUGUAGCACCAUUUUUAGUAUCUUUAGCAAUGUUCGUGACAUACAUCUACAUGGAUAAAGACCAUCAUCUAGAGCCAAGAACGGCCUUUGUUACACUAGCUCUGCUAAAUGUCAUCCGAAUUGCCAUGAACUGGGGUCCAUGGGUACUCAAUGCUUGCAUCAGGGCAGCAGUGUCUAUAAGGAGAAUCAGUUGUUUCCUAAAUCAGAAAGACCUUGAUAUGGAUGGCAUGUUGAAAAAAUCUAAUGAAGAGCCUGGUCCAGCAUUGUCCAUUGAAAAUGGAACAUUUACAUGGGAUGAAAGUCUAGGCUUGACCCUUAAAAACAUCUGUAUAGAAAUCCCACAAGGGUCACUAGUAGGUUUAGUUGGUACGGUUGGCUCAGGAAAAUCCUCGCUGUUGUCAGCUUUCCUUGGAGAAAUGCAUAGGGUUGAAGGAAAAGUCUGCAUCAAAGGUUCCAUAGCAUAUGUCCCACAACAACCCUGGAUACAACAUGACACUGUACGAGGCAACAUUCUGUUUGGGAAAGAUAUGAACCAAGAAAUUUUUGACAGAAGCAUUAUUGCAUGUGCAUUAGGACCUGACUUGGACAGUCUGCCUGAUGGAGAUAUGACAGAAAUUGGAGAGAAGGGAAUAAACCUAAGUGGAGGUCAGAAACAACGGGUUAGCCUUGCUCGUGCUAUCUACAACUCUGCUGAUAUCUAUCUUCUUGAUGACCCUCUAAGUGCUGUGGAUAUCAAUGUGGGUUUACACAUCUUUGAACAAGUCAUAGGUCCCAAUGGUCUGCUGGCUGGGAAGACUCGUGUUUUAGUGACUCAUGGUGUACAUUGGCUCCCACAUGUGGAUGUCAUCAUCAUGAUGAAAGAUGGCUGUGUAAUAACAACUGGGACUUACCAGGAUCUCAUCACACAUGAUGGGCCUUUUGUUCAGUAUGUCAGAUGCCUCAUGACUGAGCAAAUUGAGAGUGAUGAGGAAGAGGACCCGGAAGUCCUAGAGAUCAAGCAUCAAAUUAUGAAACAACUAGAAGCCAUUUCUGGGGAAGAUGAAGAGGAAAAACUGUCUUACAAAAACUCUCCCAUUAACAACCAUCUAGCCAGUCAUACUGCUAGUGAUCUGAACGGAGUAGUACCUGCAGAAGCUAUUCGACAUCAUCAAUUAACUUCACAGCUAAGCAGAGAGAAAAAAAAGGAGAAAGAAGCAGAAAGAACCAAAGAAGAAUUUGACCUUGACCUGGCUCAGAAGAAGCACAUUUUAGUGGAGGAAGAGAUGGUUGAAGACAGGAAGAUAGGAUGGGAUGUUGUUGCUACACUGAUCCGCUCUGUGGGACCAGUAUAUUUUGUUGCUAUGAUUGUUGUGUUUGUUGCUUAUCAUGUGGCAUCACUGGCUUCCAACAUCUAUCUCAGUAAGUGGACAGAUGAUACCACACUUCAGAACUUCACUGCCUUCCCUGCAAACAGCUCCCUGCGAAUGGAUCGCAAUAAUUACUACUUGAGUCUUUAUGGUGGCUUUGGAGCUGCUCAAGCAUUUUUACUGAUAGUGUUCAGACUUCUGGAUGAUUUUCGACUGAUUUCUGCCUCACGGAUUCUCCACAAUAACUUGCUGAAAACUAUUCUGCAAGCGCCUAUGUCAUUCUUUGAUACCACACCUUUUGGCCGCAUAAUCAACAGAUUUUCACAGGACAUAAGCACAAUUGACAAUAGCCUCCAAUACAGCAUCUCUGGUGGAAUUGAAUCAACGUGUUUAGUCUGUUGUUCGCUGAUCAUCAUCGUCUACAGCACACCUUGGUUCCUUGUUGCUCUGAUUCCAUUAUCUAUUUUGUAUAUAAUGUUGCAGAGAUUUUAUGUAGCAACCUCUCGACAACUAAGGAGACUGGAUGCUAAGUUCCGCUCACCCAUCUACAGCCAUUUUAGUGAAACUCUGCAGGGCUGCAGUGUUGUCCGUGCUUUUGGUGCACAACUUCGAUUUGUUGAAGAAGCUGAAAGAAGGAUUGAUGAAAACACACAUUUUCGUUUUUAUCUUUAUGGUGGAAAUAGGUGGCUGGGAUUCAGAUUGUCAUUUUUGGGAGCAGUGGUUGUGUUGACAACUUCCCUUAUGGCAGUUGCUACAAGACAGUCCGAGUCAGCAGGCCUGAUGGGUUUAGCUUUUCUGUAUUCUUUGGAAAUCACAGGUAUCAUGGAUUUUUUCGUGGGCUCCUGGAGCACCUUGGAGUCGGAUAUGGUCAGUGUUGAAAGGGUUAAAGAAUACACUGAUCUGGGAGUUGAGGCCCCUUGGGAAAUCUCUGCUCACAAACCUCCAGAUUCUUGGCCAGAACAUGGCGAUGUGAAGAUAGAUGAUAUUGCCCUUCGCUACAGAGAUGGCCUUGACCUUGUCCUAGAUGGUGUCUCUGUACAUGUUUCUAGCAAAGAAAAGGUUGGAAUUGUAGGAAGAACAGGGGCAGGUAAAUCUUCACUGACUACAGCACUCUUCAGACUUGUGGAGUUGGCAAGAGGCAAAGUUUAUAUUGAUGACCGUGACACUUCACUUAUGGGCUUGCAUGACCUAAGGUCUGGACUUGCCAUACUACCACAGGAUCCAGUCAUUUUUGCUGGCAGUCUCCGGUCAAAUCUCGAUCCCUUCUCCCAGUACAAUGACCAGGAAGUGUGGACAGCGCUGGAGCAUGCACAUCUCAAAACAUUUGUUACCUGUCUGCCUGAUGGUCUAGAAUAUGAUUGUGGAGAAGGAGGCACCAAUUUAAGCCAGAACUCUGCUACGCAAGAACAAAGUACUGGUCCUGGAUGAGGCAACGGCUGCUGUUGAUAUGGAAACUGAUGAACUCAUUCAGCAAACCCUCCGAACUCAGUUUGCAGCCUGCACAAUUCUGACUAUUGCCCAUCGAUUGAAUACUAUCAUGGACUAUGACAAAAUUCUGGUAUUAGACAAAGGGCAAGUUAUGGCUUUUGACACACCACAGCAUCUGCUUCAAGAUUCAAACAGCAUCUUCUACAAGAUGGUGGAGAGUGCUGGGCUCCUAACAUCUUAAUUCUACUUGUGAUUGAA
rnacentral:misc_RNA from 1 species